UUUUUUUGUUUUGUUUUUUGUUUUUUUUUUUAGUUGUCUUGCCUAAAAGGUUUGUUAUGUCUUUCCUGUCCUCUUUCUAUGGUUUGGUUUUUUGAAGAAGAAAUGUAGUAUUGGCCUCUCCCUUAGGUUCAGUGUGUAUUCUCUACGGCCGAACCAAUUCUAUGUAUUAGCAGCCAUCCUGGAUCCCUGAAGACGAGCAGCUGAAGAGGUGGAAAUGUGGUUGACUCUUAAUUUCCUUUUCAGCAAACAGAUUUUAUUAAAGUUUAUUCCUUCAGAUACUCUUUAUAGCAGCUGAGAGGCUCAAACACUUGAUGGCUGUGAGCUAAAGUUUCUUUAGAGUCUGCAGGAGGAAGAUAAAAUCAAGUCAGUCCAACUGGUUUCAGGUAAAUUCGUGUGAAAAUCAUACUGUUAACUUGAAGAUUUUACUAGGGUGGUCCAUGGAUAAAAACUGAUACAAAUCACUAUUAGUGUGAUUUUUUUUUUUAAAAAUUACUGUUUUUUUUUUUUUUUAAGAAUUAAAUGGCGUAAUACUUCAACAUUUUGGCAAAAACCUAAUUUCUUGAAUCUUUGGUUCAUUUUCCAUUCAUAUUUCUGUAAGAUAAGAUGUACUCAUUUUAAUUGGACUAAGCAGUAAACCUAUUGAUAAGUGCCAGAAGGACAUGUACAUACGAUUCUUUUUUUUUUUUACAUGUGAUUCUUUAAUUAUAUUUUUCUGAACUUGUAGCCCAUGUGCUUUAUAUGCAAAAUUUUCAUUAGGCACAAAGCCUUUCUUCAGAUACCACAUUCUGUGAAGGAGAGGAGAUGCCUUAGGAUUCCUUGAACAUCAGAAUUGGUUAGCCUCAGCUUGGGUGAGAAAGCUGAACUCUUAAAAUUUUACCAUGGUAUUCAGUGUGCUCAUGUGGAGGAAAAGUGUUACAGAAUAAAAACAGAUUUAAACCUUUGGACAUCUGAUAAUUUAAUAUGCAGUUUUCUGGUUCACCAAGAUGUGCUAAUUAUGAAGUCAUUCAAGUAUCAGUUCUUCACUGAAGACCCCAAAUUCCAGUACACAUAGUGAAAUUUGACCUGUCCUGGUGAUGUAAUAGGAAUGAAGAACUGGGAGAACACCGUGAGGAAAUUCUUAGCUGUCACUUCACUGUCUCUUUGUUGUCUUGCCGAAAAGUGCCAGACCUAGGGGGACUUAACAGAUUUUUUACUUAAAAUCUAAACAACACUCCUAUCUCAAUAAACACGAGAGGCCUGAAAUGGAAACCUCGGUCACUGCUUAUUCCACAGAAUUCUAGGACGGAAUUAGAAGAGAGAUUGAAGGUGUGCGUC
rnacentral:lncRNA from 1 species